ACGAGAACGUUUCAGCUUGCUGAAACUAGUAAAGUGGCGCACGGGUGAGUAACGCGUGGGUAAUCUACCUCCGAAUUGGGGAUAACAUUGCGAAAGCGACGCUAAUACCGGAUAAUAUCUCGAGGACGACGGUUCUUGAGAUCAAAGGUGGCCUCUCCUUGGAAGCUACCGUUUGGAGAUGAGCCCGCGUACCAUUAGCUUGUUGGUAGGGUAAUGGCCUACCAAGGCAACGAUGGUUAGCUGGUCUGAGAGGAUGAUCAGCCACACUGGAACUGAAACACGGUCCAGACUCCUACGGGAGGCAGCAGUGAGGAAUUUUGCGCAAUGGGGUAACCCCUGACGCAGCAACGCCGCGUGAGUGAUGAAGGCCUUCGGGUCGUAAAGCUCUGUCAAGUGGGAAGAACCUGCCCUGUGCUAAUAUCGCUGGGCACUGACGGUACCACUGAAGGAAGCACCGGCUAACUCCGUGCCAGCAGCCGCGGUAACACGGAGGGUGCAAGCGUUAUUCGGAAUCACUGGGCGUAAAGAGCGCGUAGGCGGUCUCUUAAGUCGGAUGUGAAAGCCCGGGGCUCAACCCCGGAAGUGCAUUUGAAACUAAGGGACUUGAGUAUGGGAGAGGGAAGUGGAAUUCCUGGUGUAGCGGUGAAAUGCGUAGAUAUCAGGAGGAACACCGGUGGCGAUGGCGACUUCCUGGACCAAUACUGACGCUGAGGCGCGAAGGCGUGGGGAGCAAACAGGAUUAGAUACCCUGGUAGUCCACGCAGUAAACGUUGAACACUAGGUGUAGCGGGUAUUGACCCC
rnacentral:rRNA from 1 species